GACGAACGCUGGCGGCGUGCUUAACACAUGCAAGUCGAACGGAAAGGCCCUGCUUUUGUGGGGUGCUCGAGUGGCGAACGGGUGAGUAACACGUGAGUAACCUGCCCUUGACUUUGGGAUAACUUCAGGAAACUGGGGCUAAUACCGGAUAGGAGCUCCUGCUGCAUGGUGGGGGUUGGAAAGUUUCGGCGGUUGGGGAUGGACUCGCGGCUUAUCAGCUUGUUGGUGGGGUAGUGGCUUACCAAGGCUUUGACGGGUAGCCGGCCUGAGAGGGUGACCGGCCACAUUGGGACUGAGAUACGGCCCAGACUCCUACGGGAGGCAGCAGUGGGGAAUAUUGCACAAUGGGCGGAAGCCUGAUGCAGCAACGCCGCGUGCGGGAAGACGGCCUUCGGGUUGUAAACCGCUUUCGCCUGUGACGAAGCGUGAGUGACGGUAAUGGGUAAAGAAGCACCGGCUAACUACAUG
rnacentral:rRNA from 1 species